rnacentral:rRNA from 1 species
GCGAAGCUCGGACAGGGAGGUGGGGUAAGACGGGGAGUGGAAGAGUUAAUCGGAAGUAUUGGGCGUAAAGGGGGCGUAGGCGGGAAUAUAAGUCAGAUGUGAAAUUCCAAAGCUCAACUUUGGAGCUGCAUUUGAAACUAUGUUUGUAGAGGAUUGACGGAGAAAACGGAAUUCCACGUGUAGCGGUGAAAUGCGUAGAUAUGUGGAAGAACAUCGGUGGCGAAAGCGGUUUUCUAGUUUAUACCUGACGCUGAGGCGCGAGAGCAAGGGGAGCAAACAGGAUUAGAUACCCUUGUAGUC